rnacentral:rRNA from 1 species
AACUCUGAUGCAGCAAUGCCGCGUGUGUGAAGAAGGCCUUAGGGUUGUAAAGCACUUUCAAUAGGGAGGAAAAGUUAAUAGUUAAUAACUGCUAACCCUGACGUUACCUAUAGAAGAAGGACCGGCUAACUCCGUGCCAGCAGCCGCGGUAAUACA